GGAAGAAGCUCAAAAUGGAUGCCUCAAGCUAUCAGUUUAUAAUGAAGGCGUUAAGUGAAUUGGGGAAACUGGAUGAACUACUAAAUGUGGUUGAUACACUUCUGGAUGAUGAUGGGAUUGAAUUUUCCGAAGAGCUGCAGGAGUUUGUCAGAGGUGAGCUGAGGAAGGAAGACAGGGAAGAAGAUCUAGCUAAACUUGUGGAAGA
rnacentral:misc_RNA from 1 species